GAUGAAGAACGCAGUGAACUGCGAUAAGUAAUGUGAAUUGCAGAAUUCAGUGAAUCAUCGAGUCUUUGAACGCACAUUGCGCCCCCUGGCAUUCCGGGGGGCAUGCCUGUCCGAGCGUCAUUGCUGCCCAUCAAGCCCGGCUUGUGUGUUGGGUCGUCGUCCCCCCCGGGGGACGGGCCCGAAAGGCAGCGGCGGCACCGUGUCCGGUCCUCGAGCGUAUGGGGCUUUGUCACCCGCUCGAUUAGGGCCGGCCGGGCGCCAGCCGACGUCUCCAACCAUUUUUUUCAGGUUGACCUCGGAUCAGGUAGGGAUACCCGCUGAACUUAAGCAUAUCAAUAAGCGGAGGA
rnacentral:misc_RNA from 1 species